CUACGGGUGGCUCCAGUGGGGAAUAUUGGACAAUGGGCGAAAGCCUGAUCCAGCCACGCCGCGUGAGUGAUGAAGGCCUUCGGGUUGUAAAGCUCUGUCGGGAGGGACGAAAGCUUCGGCUUGACGGUACCUCGCAAGAAAGCACCGGCUAACUCCGUGCCAGCAGCCGCGGUAAUACGGAGGGUGCAAGCGUUGCUCGGAAUCACUGGGCGUAAAGCGCACGCAGGCGGCUUGGUAAGUCGGAUGUGAAAGCCCUGGGCUCAACCCAGGAAUUGCAUUCGAAACGGCCUAGCUUGAGUUCGGGAGAGGGUGGUGGAAUUCCUGGUGUAGAGGUGAAAUUCGUUGAUAUCAGGAGGAACACCGGCGGCGAAGGCGGCCACCUGGCCCGAUACUGACGCUCAUGUGCGAAAGCGUGGGGAGCAAACAGGAUUAGAUACCCUGGUAGUC
rnacentral:rRNA from 1 species